UACGAAGGGGGCUAGCGUUGCUCGGAAUUACUGGGCGUAAAGGGCGCGUAGGCGGGUCGUUAAGUUGGGGGUGAAAGCCCAGGGCUCAACCCUGGAAUUGCCUUCAAUACUGGCGACCUUGAGUAUGGCAGAGGUGUGUGGAACUCCGAGUGUAGAGGUGAAAUUCGUAGAUAUUAGGAAGAACACCAGUGGCGAAGGCGGCUCACUGGUCCGGUACUGACGCUGAGGUGCGAAAGCGUGGGGAGCAAACAGG
rnacentral:rRNA from 1 species